rnacentral:rRNA from 1 species
UACGAAGGGGGCUAGCGUUGUUCGGAUUUACUGGGCGUAAAGGGUGCGUAGGCGGCCCUGUAAGUAUGGUGUGAAAUCUCCCGGCUUAACUGGGAGGGUGCGCUAUAGACUGCGGGGCUCGAGUGUGGGAGAGGAAAGUGGAAUUCCUGGUGUAGCGGUGAAAUGCGUAGAUAUCAGGAGGAACACCGGUGGUGUAAACGGCUUCUGGACCAUAACUGACGCUGAGGCACGAAAGCGUGGGUAGCAAACAGG